AGAGUUUGAUCAUGGCUCAGGAUGAACGCUGGCGGCGUGCUUAACACAUGCAAGUCGAACGAACCUUCGGGUUAGUGGCGGACGGGUGAGUAACGCGUGAGAAUCUGCCCUCAGGAGGGGGAUAACGGUUGGAAACGACCGCUAAUACCCCAUAUGCCUACUGGUGAAAUGAAUUUCGCCUGAGGAUGAGCUCGCGUCUGAUUAGCUAGUUGGUGAGGUAAUGGCUCACCAAGGCUUCGAUCAGUAGCUGGUCUGAGAGGAUGAUCAGCCACACUGGGACUGAGACACGGCCCAGACUCCUACGGGAGGCAGCAGUGGGGAAUUUUCCGCAAUGGGCGAAAGCCUGACGGAGCAACGCCGCGUGAGGGACGAAGGCCUCUGGGCUGUAAACCUCUUUUCUCAAGGAAGAAGAUAUGACGGUACUUGAGGAAUAAGCCACGGCUAAUUCCGUGCCAGCAGCCGCGGUAAUACGGGAGUGGCAAGCGUUAUCCGGAAUUAUUGGGCGUAAAGCGUCCGCAGGCGGCUUUUCAAGUCUGCUGUUAAAGCGUGGAGCUUAACUCCAUCAUGGCAGUGGAAACUGAAAGGCUUGAGUAUGGUAGGGGCAGAGGGAAUUCCCGGUGUAGCGGUGAAAUGCGUAGAUAUCGGGAAGAACACCAGUGGCGAAGGCGCUCUGCUGGGCCAUUACUGACGCUCAUGGACGAAAGCCAGGGGAGCGAAAGGGAUUAGAUACCCCUGUAGUCCUGGCCGUAAACGAUGAACACU
rnacentral:rRNA from 1 species